UACAGAGGGUGCGAGCGUUGUUCGGAAUUAUUGGGCGUAAAGGGCGCGUAGGCGGUGCGGUAAGUCACCUGUGAAAUCUCCUGGCUCAACUGGGAGCUUGCAGGCGAAACUGCCGUGCUGGAGUGUGGGAGAGGUGCGUGGAAUUCCCGGUGUAGCGGUGAAAUGCGCAGAUAUCGGGAAGAACACCCGUGGCGAAGGCGGCUCUCUGGGACGGUACUGGACGCUGAGACGCGAAAGCGUGGGUAGCAAACAGG
rnacentral:rRNA from 1 species